rnacentral:tRNA from 1 species
CAGAGAAUAGUUUAAUUAUAAUAAAAUAUCAAUUUUGGGGAUUGGAGAUAAAAGAUUUUUUUUCUCUGA